AAUCCCAAAGUACUCUUCCCCAACCACUUAACAAAAUAAGUUGCAACUCUAUCUCCUAGGCCAGUUUUAACAAAGCCACGAGCAAAAAAGAAAGAAAUCACAAUCAACCAAAUAACCUCGUUAGUAAAGGCACUAAAAGCUGUCGAAAAAGUUAAAGUUCUCGUCACAAUGGAUGUCGUUAGACCAAGAAACGCCCAAGCACCAACUGGCAAUGGAUUCAAAACAAGACCCGCAAUGGUUGAAAGAAAGAUUGCGAGUAAUUGCCAAGCUUGUGGGGUUACUUCGACGGGUUUAGGAAUAAAAAAGCGAAGAAUGAGACCUACAGAAACAGAUAUUAUAAGGGGAACAAGCUUGGCACCUUGUGGAGGUGGGUUUGCGAUUGGCGGGGUUUUUGAUAGGUUUGAGGAGUCAUUUUUCUCAGAGGAGGCGCGAAUUGGGAAUUGGGUUUUGAAGGACUUGUGAAGUGGAGGGAAAAGAAAUGGUUUUUGAGAGGAAAGAGCUGGUGAUCGGAUUGUGCCGGGCAGGGAAGGUGGAGAGACAGUACAUGGAAAUUUGGAGAUGGGUUUUGGUGAUCGGUGGAGUAAGGAAUUCCGGAUAGAGAGAGUGAAGGAGGUUGUAGUGGAGACAGAGUGAAGCGCCAAGCUCUCCAUUGCCUUGUGUUUUCUGUGUGUCUGAAAUUGAAAGGAA
rnacentral:misc_RNA from 1 species